AUGCCGUGCGCCGCUGAUACCGUCGUCCGCCACCGCUUGCUCCCCGUGCUCUGCUCACGGCUCCUCGCGAUCGAGUACCUAGAUGUGGCCGAGCAGUGCUUGCAAGCGUUUGAGAAGAUAUCACUGCGGCAGCCGGCACAGUGCUUGCAGGCAGGCAUGAUAACUGUUGUGCUGGUAUACAUGGACCUUGUCUCUGCAAGUAUUCAGAGGGUUGUUGUCUCAGCUGUUGCAAAUGCCUGCAAGAAGGUCCCCGCAGAUUGCUCCCAGUUUGUGAUGGACUCGGUCCCAAUGCUGUGUAAUCUACUGCAGUCUGAGGAGAAGAUGGUAUUUUUACCCACUAAUUUAACCGAGCUUGCUUGUAUUAGGCAUGUACAUAGUGCUCUGCUAAAGGCAAAGGAGAGGUUGACAAUGCAGACAAGGAGAAGUAGUGUCAUGGAUCUGCAUGGAAGUGUCAUCGAGGGAUGUCUGGUGUCAAGGUUCUGCAAUUUUGGAGUUAACAAAUGUGCUUAG
rnacentral:rRNA from 1 species